GGUGGGGGGAACCGCCGGACAGUUCGCGAGGUUUUGGCCCUCUCAAAAGCCAAUUCCCCCAAGCUUGUCUUCCUCUGUGAGACACGACAAGCAUCUGAGAAAGUUGAGAAGUUGAAGUGGAGACUAGGGAUGAGAGGUUUCUGUGGCGUGGGCAGUGAUGGCAGCGGUGGGUUGGCUUUAUUCUGGGAUGAGUCACUCCAGGUCACGGUGCUUGACUCGUGCGCACGCUACAUUGAUGUGUUAGUUGGAUGA
rnacentral:rRNA from 1 species